rnacentral:lncRNA from 1 species
GGCAAAGGAGUUCCUAAGAAGCUGAGAGGCACACUGUCAUCAUAUGCAUUCUUUGCAGACUUGUUGGGAGGAGCACGAGAAGGAGUACCCAGAUAGUUCAGUCAACUUUCGAGUUUCCAAAGAAGUGCUCUGAGAAGUGGAAGACCAUGUCUGUGAAAGAGAAAGGAAAAUUUGAUGACAGAAAAGACAGACAAGGCCCUUUAUGAAAGAGAAGUAAAAACAUAUAUUCAUCCUAAAGGGGAACCAAAAAGAAGCACAAGGAUCCCAAUGUACUCAAGAAGCAUCCUUCAGCCUUUUUCUUGUUCUCUUCUGAAUAUUUGCACAAAAUCAAAAGAGAACACCCCAGCCUAUCUGUUGGUGAUGUUGCAACAAAACUGGAAGAGGUGUGGAAUGACACUGCUGCAGAUGACAAGCUCCCUUAUGAAAAGAAGGCCAUGAAGCUGAAGAAAAAAUACUAAAGGAAAAAUGCUAAAGAAAAGCCUGAUUCAGCAAAAAAGGGAGUCAUCAAGGCUGAAAAAAAGCAAGAAAAACAAGGAAGAGGAGGAUGAUAAAGAAGAUGAAGAUG